UUGACCUCAAAUCAGGUAGGACUACCCGCUGAACUUAAGCAUAUCAAUAAGCGGAGGAAAAGAAACUAACAAGGAUUCCCCUAGUAACUGCGAGUGAAGCGGGAAAAGCUCAAAUUUAAAAUCUGGUAGUCUUUGGCUGCCCGAGUUGUAAUCUAGAGAAGUGUUAUCCGUGCUGGACCGUGUACAAGUCUCCUGGAAUGGAGCGUCAUAGAGGGUGAGAAUCCCGUCUUUGACACGGACUACCAGUGCAUUGUGAUGCGCUCUCAAAGAGUCGAGUUGUUUGGGAAUGCAGCUCUAAAUGGGUGGUAAAUUCCAUCUAAAGCUAAAUAUUGGCGAGAGACCGAUAGCGAACAAGUACCGUGAGGGAAAGAUGAAAAGAACUUUGGAAAGAGAGUUAAACAGUACGUGAAAUUGUUGAAAGGGAAACGCUUGAAGUCAGUCGCGUUGGCCAGGGAUCAACCUUGCUUUUGCUUGGCGUACUUCCUGGUUAACGGGUCAGCAUCAAUUUUGACCAGUGGAUAAAGGUCAAGGGAAUGUGGCAUCUUCGGAUGUGUUAUAGCCCUUGGUUGCAUACACUGAUUGGGAUUGAGGAACUCAGCACGCCGCAAG
rnacentral:rRNA from 1 species